rnacentral:rRNA from 1 species
GACGAACGCUGGCGGCGUGCUUAACACAUGCAAGUCGAACGGAAAGGCCCUGCUUUUGUGGGGUGCUCGAGUGGCGAACGGGUGAGUAACACGUGAGUAACCUGCCCUUGACUUUGGGAUAACUUCAGGAAACUGGGGCUAAUACCGGAUAGGAGCUCCUGCUGCAGGGUGGGGGUUGGAAAGUUUCGGCGGUUGGGGAUGGACUCGCGGCUUAUCAGCUUGUUGGUGGGGUAGUGGCUUACCAAGGCUUUGAUGGGUAGCCGGCCUGAGAGGGUGACCGGCCACAUUGGGACUGAGAUACGGCCCAGACUCCUACGGGAGGCAGCAGUGGGGAAUAUUGCACAAUGGGCGGAAGCCUGAUGCAGCAACGCCGCGUGCGGGAUGACGGCCUUCGGGUUGUAAACCGCUUUCGCCUGUGACGAAGCGUGAGUGACGGUAAUGGGUAAAGAAGCACCGGCUAACUACGUG